UACGUAGGAGGCAAGCGUUGUCCGGAAUUAUUGGGCGUAAAGAGCGUGUAGGCGGUCCGAUAAGUCGGCUGUGAAAGUCCAGGGCUCAACCCUGGGAUGCCGGUCGAUACUGUCGGACUAGAGUUCGGAAGAGGCGAGUGGAAUUCCCGGCGUAGCGGUGAAAUGCGCAGAUAUCGGGAGGAACACCUAUGGCGAAGGCAGCUCGCUGGGACGUUACUGACGCUGAGACGCGAAAGCGUGGGGAGCAAACAGG
rnacentral:rRNA from 1 species